rnacentral:misc_RNA from 1 species
GUAUUGAUUGCGUGUUAUCGCAAAAAAAAAAGACAUUCUACACUACUUCAAGUUUGUGUUAAAACGCAAGCCCCCCCUCUGAACGAGCCAAAAGGGGGACCCACGCGGUGGUGCACAGGGUGAGAUGGAUUGUUUGAAAAUGCUCGGGCGUGCACGACCAAAAGUCAGCGACAGCCCUUGCACCUCAGUUUUACAAUAAUGAUCCUUCCGCAGGUUCACCUACGGAAA